AUGCGGUCAAUGUUGAUGCGGUCAAUUUUGAUGCGGUCAAUUUUGAUGCCGAAAACUAAUCACAUUGCCGAACAUCACCAAAUCACAAAGGACAACAUUUACUGGGACUCGGCAUCAUAUUUUAUUAUUUUAGACAGAACUUUUAUGACAGUGAACUUUCUAGAAUAAAAUCAUAUUUUAUAUCCAUUGGACAGAACUUUAGAGGUACUUGACCUUUGACCUUUCUUACUAUUUAUAGUAACAUGUUACUAUUAUUAGCAUCGACCUUGAGCGACCUUGUAAUUUUGCUGAGUCAUGUGGACUUUGACCUCCACGUGAUAGCACGUGAUGGAAUUUGCACAUCACGCCAUAUACUUUCUACCGGAUUUACGUAAAUAAGCAUAUCAAUUACAAUAUUAUAAAAGGACGUUCACCGUCACUGACAAUCAUUCGAAGCGAUGGCAGCAUUUGAUGAAGACACUCAUUUUUAAGACGAACAAUUACAACUACAAUCUCUGAUAGAGGCGGCGAUGCAAGACGAAGCAUUUCCAACUAACGGCGGAAGUGACGACGUCGAUGGAGCAGAAAGUCAGACUGAAUAUUUAAUAUUUUUACUCGUACUUUUUUAUUGGAAUUUUCUUAUUGAAUUGUAUGAUUUAAAUCUUCCUUCAAUUCCUUAUAAAUUAUAAAUAUCUAUAAUUUGUACAAGUGUGCCGUGAACAUAAUGAUAAUUGAAAUAUUAACUAAUUAGAACAAAUCUACUUUUCGAUGUCGUAUUUUCUAUUUGUGAAAAAGCAUAUUUUUAUUGCCUCUUAUUGCGCUCUUAUGCCUCAUUUACAUAAAAAUCCAAAAUGUUUUCAAGACGUGAAAAGAAUUGUUGUCAUAUUCCAGGGUCAUAGGUCGGAAAACUGAUUACGUCACAAACCAUUUUCACGACAGAAAUCGAAUAAUAAUCGGCGAAUACCGAUAGUUUCCACCGGAUGUUUUGCUAGAAUCAGUAAAGUCAGUCAUGGCUUUGUUAUUGUGAAAUUGAGGGUCAGUGUUUAUUUGUUGCUUUUAUUGCAUUCAAAGCUACAAAUUUUCGAUAAUGACUUCACGAAAGCGUUGCUACAAUGGAUUAUGACAGUGAACUUUCUAGAAUAAAAUCAUAUUUUAUAUCUAUUGGACAGAACUUUUAUGACAGUGAACUUUCUAGAAUAAAAUCAUAUUUAUAUCCAUUAGACAGAACUUUUAUGACAGUGAACUUUCUAGAAUAAAAUCAUAUUUUAAAUCCAUUGGACAGAACUUUUAUGACAGUGAACUUUCUAAAAUAAAAUCAUAUUUUAUAUCCAUUGGACAGAACUUCAGAGUCACUCACUGCAGUCGUUGCCAACCAGUAGUGUCGUUGUUUCAUUUGUGAAAGACAAGUUUCAACGGUCAUUUGGACGACCAGCUUAGAAGUACAAGUCCCUCAUGCACAGAGAAACAAUCUUACAAAAGAAAAGACAAAACAAGCGGUGACGUCAUCGCAGGUGCUGACGUCAGAACUAUUGGCGUUAGAGAAGAUGUUUACGGUGCUUCAAAUGAUAAAGUGCUAACAUUAAAUGUCUCGGGUAACAGUAACAUAGGGAAAGGAUUUGAUGAAGAAGAAAAAUCCAAGAAUGAACAUUCAGAUGACUUUGUUGAGCUUAAAAAUGAUGAAUUGGUAAAGAAAAGAAACGAUGGAGAUUGUUUCUUGCAUAAUAGAACAAGCUCCAUGGAUUCUUUGCAAUAAAAUUCAGUGGAAAGCGAUCGAAAAAUCAAUGAUAAUGACGAUAACGGGAAGGCCUUGCUUUCAUCAAAAACAGCCAUGGACAAGUUUAAAGACUUCUUGGUCGACACUAAAGGCGAAAGUUUGCUUCUGCUUUGGCUGCAAAUUGAGUAUUGGAAACAUAUUAAAAAUAGCGAAGAAAGAAAAAGAUAUGUUCUGGAAAUGAAACAACAAUAUGGUUCGCCAUUGGAGUUACCACGUAAGAUAAAGAAAGACAUGUUAUCAGGAUUAGCUGAAGAUAUGAAUGAAGCACAGAAAAUCGUUGAAGAACCAUUGUUAAACUAUUGGUGUGAAAGGUUCAUGUUGCAUGAAGUAAAUAUUUCGAAAAAAGUUCAUUCAUCUUCAAAAAUGUCCCCAUCAAUACACAUUUGUACACCAAUACAUAUUUCACCAUAUCCCACCAACGCUCAAUUCAUUCCUAGACCACAUCCAUACAACACACCACAAUCCCUCUACGAUCAAUACAUCCUUAGACAAAACUCAUACAACACACCACAAUCCUCAACGCUCAAUACAUCCACAGACCACACUCCUACAAAACACCACAAUCCCUCAACGCUCAAUACAUCCCUAGACCACAUUCAUACAACACACCACAAUCCCGUAUAGUUAGUUAUUCCAGCAGUAGUUCACAUUGGGAAAGCAACAUAUCAUUACAACACGUGAGUCGCACAUGCAACAAAUGGAAACCGACGCACCUGAGAUCAAAGUCAGCACGUGGACGCAAAGUGACGACGCCUUAUCACACGAACGCUGGGAAGCGACAGCUUGAGGUGACGGAUGAUGUGAUUUCUACAGUUGUGUUGCAUCAAGAGAUAAUUUAUUGCAGAAACGUCCUAAAUUUUUAUUCAGAUAUACGCAACGCCAGAGAUGGAAAAUUCGGAUUUCAAAAACGACCAAUCAGCGCGUUUCCAAGAUGUUCUGACGUGGAAUAUUUUUCACCAAUCAGACUUGUCAUUGCUCCAAGAAUCGCGCCCAGUUUGAGUACAGUCUUGGAACAAAGGAUUUGGAAUAUUCACUAUAUGAUUUCUUCAAAAAAUGGUAUGACUUCAUGGACGAUGCACGUGGACAGCAGUCACGUGAUACAGUCGAGGAGGACGAAACCUAUGACGUAGAGUGGUCGCUCGUGAUAGUUUGGAGUACCAGACCGAAUCUGGAAGUUUCCUGAAAGAUUUCGUAUCAAAAGAAAGCAACGAAUUCUGGUCCAACUGCCUGUCUUUCUGGUAAGCGACGCGAGACUAUUCCGCUUGUUUCGAAAGUGGUCCCUUCUGUUCUGAAACUGUGAUUUUCAAGGCCAAGUGGAUAUACGAAAGAUUCUUAGCUCCAGGGAGCGUCUGUGAUAUCAACGUUUCGUCCAACGUCAGAGAAAAUA